AGUGAACGCUGGCGGCAGGCCUAACACAUGCAAGUCGAACGGCAGCACAGUAAGAGUUUGCUCUUACGGGUGGCGAGUGGCGGACGGGUGAGGAAUACAUCGGAAUCUACUUUUUCGUGGGGGAUAACGGAGGGAAACUUACGAUAAUACCGCAUACGACCUACGGGUGAAAGCAGGGGAUCUUCGCACCUUGCGCGAUUGAAUGAGCCGGUGUCGGAUUAGCUAGUUGGCGGGGUAAAGGCCCACCAAGGCGACGAUCCGUAGCUGGUCUGAGAGGAUGAUCAGCCACACUGGAACUGGAGCACGGUCCAGACUCCUACGGGAGGCAGCAGUUGGGAAUAUUGGACAAUGGGCGCAAGCCUGGUCCAGCCAUCCCGCGUUGGUGGAGAAGGCCUUCCGGUUGUAAAGCCCUUUUGUUGGGAAAAAAAAGCAGCAGGAUAAUACCCCGCUGUUCUGACGGUACCCAAAGAAUAAGCACCGGCUAACUUCGUG
rnacentral:rRNA from 1 species